UACAGAGGGUGCGAGCGUUGUCCGGAAUCACUGGGCGUAAAGGGCGCGUAGGCGGCUUGGCAAGUGGAAGGUGAAAUCCCUCGGCUUAACCGAGGAACUGCCCUCCAAACUGCUUUGCUUGAGGCCGGGAGAGGUGAGUGGAAUUCCCAGUGUAGCGGUGAAAUGCGUAGAUAUUGGGAGGAACACCAGUGGCGAAGGCGGCUCACUGGACCGGUUCUGACGCUGAGGCGCGAAAGCGUGGGGAGCAAACGGG
rnacentral:rRNA from 1 species